rnacentral:rRNA from 1 species
CCAGCUUGCUGGGGUGGAUGAGUGGCGAACGGGUGAGUAACACGUGAGUAACCUGCCCCGACUUCGGGAUAAGCCCGGGAAACUGGGUCUAUUAACGGAUAUGACUCUCUAACGCAUGUUGGAGAGUGGAACAGUUUCCCGGGGAUGGGCUUGGCCUAUCAGUUUGUGGUGAGGUAUGGCUCACCAAGACGAGACGGGUAGCCGGCCUGAGAGGGCGACCGGCCACACUGGGACUGAGACACGGCCCAGACUCCUACGGGAGGCAGCAGUUGGGAAUAUUGCACAAUGGGGGAAACCCUGAUGCAGCGACGCAGCGUGCGGGAUGACGG